UACGUAGGUGGCUAGCGUUGUCCGGAUUUACUGGGCGUAAAGAGCGCGCAGGCGGUCGUUCAAGUCGAGUGUGAAAGCCCCCGGCUCAACUGGGGAGGGUCACUCGAUACUGAUCGACUCGAAGGCAGGAGAGGGAAGCGGAAUUCCCGGUGUAGUGGUGAAAUGCGUAGAUAUCGGGAGGAACGCCAGUGGCGAAAGCGGCUUCCUGGACCAGAACUGACGAUCAGGCACGAAAGCGUGGGGAGCAAACAGG
rnacentral:rRNA from 1 species